UUGAAUAAAUAAUAAUAAGAAUAGAAUCUAAGCCAAGCUAAGCCGUGUAAUCAAUUACUCCAACCACAUUUUCAAAGUCUUUUCUUUUGCCUAUACUAAAACCAAUUUCAACCCCAUGUU